GACGAACGCUGGCGGCGUGCCUAAUACAUGCAAGUAGAACGCUGAAGGAGGAGCUUGCUUCUCUGGAUGAGUUGCGAACGGGUGAGUAACGCGUAGGUAACCUGCCUGGUAGCGGGGGAUAACUAUUGGAAACGAUAGCUAAUACCGCAUAACAGUAGAUGUUGCAUGACAUUUGCUUAAAAGGUGCAAUUGCAUCACUACCAGAUGGACCUGCGUUGUAUUAGCUAGUUGGUGGGGUAACGGCUCACCAAGGCGACGAUACAUAGCCGACCUGAGAGGGUGAUCGGCCACACUGGGACUGAGACACGACCCAGACUCCUACGGGAGGCAGCAGUAGGGAAUCUUCGGCAAUGGACGGAAGUCUGACCGAGCAACGCCGCGUGAGUGAAGAAGGUUUUCGGAUCGUAAGCUCUGUUGUAAGAGAAGAACGAGUGUGAGAGUGGAAAGUUCACACUGUGACGGUAUCUACCA
rnacentral:rRNA from 1 species